rnacentral:rRNA from 1 species
CCUACGGGCGGCUGCAGUGGGGAAUAUUGCACAAUGGGCGCAAGCCUGAUGCAGCCAUGCCGCGUGUGUGAAGAAGGCCUCCGGGUUGUAAAGCACUUUCAGCGGGGAGGAAGGCGGUGAGGUUAAUAACCUCAUCGAUUGACGUUACCCGCAGAAGAAGCACCGGCUAACUCCGUGCCAGCAGCCGCGGUAAUACGGAGGGUGCAAGCGUUAAUCGGAAUUACUGGGCGUAAAGCGCACGCGGGCGGUCUGUCAAGUCGGAUGUGAAAUCCCCGGGCUCAACCUGGGAACUGCAUUCGAAACUGGCAGGCUAGAGUCUUGUAGAGGGGGGUAGAAUUCCAGGUGUAGCGGUGAAAUGCGUAGAGAUCUGGAGGAAUACCGGUGGCGAAGGCGGCCCCCUGGACAAAGACUGACGCUCAGGUGCGAAAGCGUGGGGAGCAAACAGGAUUAGAUACCCGUGUAGUC